AUCCUGGCUUAGGACGAACGCUGGCGGCGUGCUUCAUACAUGCAAGUCGAACGAGAAAUUAACUCGGUUAAUGGACAGUGGCGGACGGGUGAGUAAUGUGUAGAGAAUCUGCCCUUAGAGGGGGAUAGCAGUUGGAAACGACUAUUAAUACCCCAUAUGCGCGUAGUUGAGAUACUAUUCGUGAAAGAUUUAUCGCUAAAGGAUGAGUCUGCAUCUGAUUAGCUAGUUGGCGGUGUAAUGGACCACCAAGGCAACGAUCAGUAGCUGGUUUGAGAGGAUGAUCAGCCACAAUGGGACUGAGACACGGCCCAUACUCCUACGGGAGGCAGCAGUAGGGAAUUUUGCGCAAUGGGCGAAAGCCUGACGCAGCAAACCGCCGCGUGAUCGCAGACGCUUUUCGGAGUGUAAAGAUCUGUCAGUAGGGACGAAUAAUGACUGUACCUACAGAGGAAGCACCGGCUAACUCCGUGCCAGCAGCCGC
rnacentral:rRNA from 1 species